GACGAACGCUGGCGGCGUGCUUAACACAUGCAAGUCGAGCGGUAAGGCCCUUUCGGGGGUACACGAGCGGCGAACGGGUGAGUAACACGUGGGUGACCUGCCCUCAGCUCUGGGAUAAGCCCGGGAAGCUGGGUCUAAUACUGGAUAUGACUCCACGGUGCAUGCCGUGGGGUGGAAAGCCUUGUGCGGCUGAGGAUGGGCCCGNGGCCUAUCAGCUUGUUGGUGGGGUGANGGCCUACCAAGGCGACGACGGGUAGCCGGCCUGAGAGGGCGACCGGCCACACUGGGACUGAGACACGGCCCAGACUCCUACGGGAGGCAGCAGUGGGGAAUCUUGCGCAAUGGGCGAAAGCCUGACGCAGCGACGCCGCGUGA
rnacentral:rRNA from 1 species